UAAGAGGCUUGGAGAGUACAGGGUGGCUUGUUAUCCUUUUGGUGUUGGAUAUUGGAGCAAGAUGUAGAAGAUUGGUUGGAAAAGACCUUUAAAAUCACAAGGUCCAACGAUUAUCCAGCUUCCUAAGAUCCAGCACUGCAGCUGUGACCCUCAGCAGCCCAGCUCUUGUCUCUUAAAUGUCUCCGGGGGACGUUAAUUAGGUUUUUUGUUUUCAAUCUGAUGAAGAAAAUCCUCCUGUAGUUUGAAGUCUUCGGCUCCUGGCUUGUUCCACUCACUGACAACAGGAUUUCAGCACUUUGGCUUUAUUGUUUUAUUUAUUAACCUGGGGUUGGCUCAUCAAGGAGGAGACUGAAGCUGUUGUGGAGAAGGCAUGGAGGUUCACCCAGCACUGUGGAUUCAUGGAUGCAACCCAAAGACUGGAGAGUGCUCCACGCUUGGAGGGAUGAAGAGAGCUGUCCAGCCCCUGCAGGACUCUGUGGUACAGGUUCUUUGGAUUGCAUCUCUUCUCCUCUUGAGAGUUAAGAUCAGCUGCAAGUUCUGGAUGCUUCAAGUGGCCAUCAUCCAGGGAGGACUCUGUCCAUUCUGCCUUUGAUCCUGAUCCAUGAGUUCCUGAAUUCCAGAAUCCAGCUCUUGAAUGUGGGUCCCAUCUGCUCCCCAGUCCUGUCUGGGACUUCUGCCACAGCAUCAGUGGUGGACGGUGAUCAACCGCCAUCAGAGAUUGGGGUCCACACUGCACUGAGUGUGAAUGCCCUGAGUGCUCUUGCUGGCAUGAGGAAGAUGGUCAUCUGGAUUUAAUCCAAAUGCUGCCUAUCUCAGGUGAGCCUCAGGCACUGCUGUAGUGGCAAGUCAUGCUGCACCUCCUCAUAGUGAUGCUUUUCUCUCUCUGUCUCUGGACACUCUAAACUACAAAAGUGGCACAAAUGAACCUGGGGCUGAUGUGCUCCAGUGAUUGCUGUGUUUCCAUAUCUCACCUGGAUGACUGUGGCUCUCUAACAUAGGUGAGACUACCUGGAGAGGGUUACCUGGUGUUUGGUGCCUGGCCAGUGAGCCAGUUUUCCUCCCAGAUACCAGCUAGAGGUUCCCCACGGGCACUUGGCCAGCGCAGCAGAACUGAGCAUCACUCAGACAGAGGUUGCUGAGGGGUUCCUGCCCAGUGGUGAUGAUUCGCUGCCUGUGACCUCAUUAAACCAAUCUGGCUGGGACUGCUAAUCACAUAAAUAAAGGAUUAAACCACAGCAUUAACCUUCUACAGGGAAACCUGCCCUGGCAACACUGACAGAAUUAGAGCUAUUAAUUAUUUACCGGGUCAUUCGAUAGCAAUGUAUAGAGAUUGCAUAUGAGGAGCACUUGAAGCAAUAAGUUAACCAUAAAUUAUUGCUCUGCUAAGAAUCUUUUAAUAUUUCUCUUCUAAUGCCCUGAAUUAAAAGCCACCUUGCUUCUCUCUCCCUAAGACAGCAGCACCAAAUAAAU